rnacentral:rRNA from 2 species
UUUCUUUACGCCGACCUCAGAGCAGGUGA